rnacentral:lncRNA from 10 species
GGAUUCUGCCUGCUUGGCCCAGGGAGGCCUGCCACCGCACCAGAAAGCACUGCCCGUCUGUCCCUGGACAACAUCUGGACCAGCCUCUGAGAAAUGGGCUGAAAGUUCCCCAAUGGGCUUGGGGUCCCCAUGCACAGCAGGUGACCCUUGGGUUUAGUGAGGGGCGAAGUUUGGGUCCAGACAGAUGAGAGGCGGGCACUGUCCUCCAUUAUGCUGCUGCCCACACCGCCACCUCCACUUGGCCAUGUGGGGGACACAGAUGUGGAGAUGUGGAUUUAAGAAGGUCCUACAUUAUAAGCUUACCGGGGCACCCCCAGAGCUCGAUCCCAUCACCGCAGUCACGGGUGCAGCAGGAGCCUCGUGCAUGGGAAGGUGGGAGCCGCGCCUCUCCAGACAGCAGGCCAGCCUGGUGCUUCCCUGCUCCAGGAUUCCACUGCCCAGGAGGCGCGCAGACUCCGACACCCCUUGGUGGGCUGUGGGAACACUUCGCGGGUUCUCUGGCGCCCACGCCCCGGCAAGAUGGGGAGCACAGCGACGGCACAGGCCAAGAGACCCACCAGAGGAGGACCUGCUCCCCAGGUCAUCACUGCCGCCAGGGCACUAGCCACCUCCCUAGGCCCUGUCCUCCAGGCGUGUCCAGUCCCUGGGAGGACCGAAGCCAGGCCCACAGCUGCCCGCCAUGUCCUGCAGGAGCUGAGGUCACUCAUCCCAAUAAAGACAUCCAUGUGAGUGCAGGGGGCCCCUGCCCUCCAGGUCACUUCUGUCCAGUGGGCACGGGGGUGCCCCUGCCCUGCCCUGUGGGCACCUUCUCAGAUCGGAUGUUUCUCUCCACGGCCUCUGAGUGCGUGUCCUGUCCCCCCGGCUAUUUCUGCGGUGCCUCUGGCCUGGCUGCGCCCUCCGGCCCCUGCUCCCCCGGCUACUUCUGUCUGGCAGGAGCCUCCUCCCCAACCCCGACAGGCCACUCAGGGCAGGGAGGCCCCUGUCCCCGAGGCCACUUUUGCCCCAGGGGAACCAGCCCCCCACAGCCCUGCCCUGCCGGCUCCUACAGCUACCUGACUGGCCAGGCCUCCUGCUUCCCUUGCCCCGCUGGCUACUACUGCCCGAGAACAUCACCAACUACAGCGGGCACCCCUGUCCCGCUGGCUUCUACUGCCCCAGAGGCACCAAGUACGCCACCCAGUUCCCCUGCCCUCGGGGCUACUACAACCCAGACCCGCUGA